UUAAUUGAUAAAAAUAUUAAAACUAUUCCCAUAUACCAUGAAAGAGAUUUUGGCAUACAUUAAUACAAAUGUGUAAUGUGGUGAAAGUUUUUUAAACAACACUAAUGAAUAUAUGUUUCGGUAUAUAAAACAUUUACCGAAAACUCAAUAUUUUCGUAGGGCUGUUAACACAUAGAUUUUGAGAAAAUUUCAAAAAUAUGAAAAUAUUGUUUUAAUGCAUAGUUGUAUCUUGCACUAAUAUAUAAUGAUGGUUAAAGAGGUUUGGAGCCUUUGUUGUCUCCCUUUUUCAAGAAAAUAGCAAUUUUGUAGUGGUUAUUCCACCGAUUUAGGCAGUAUUACGAAGUUUUACUAAAUUAAGUGAUAAAAGAAAUUAUAAUGAUUCUGAUACACCAUGAAAGAUAGUUUAUCAUACAUUAAUACAAAUGUAGAAUAUGGUGAAAAUUUUUAAACAACACUAAUGAAUAUAUGCUUCUAUAUAUAAAACAUUUACCGAAAACUCAAUAUUUUCGUAGGGGUUAACACAUAGAUUUUGAGAAAAUUUCAAAAAAUAUAAAAAUAUUAUUUUAAUGCAUAGUUGUAUCUUGCACUAAUAUAUAAUGAUGUGUAAAGAGGUUUGUAGCCUUUGUUAUCUCUCUUUUUCAAGAAAAUAGCAAUUUUGUAGUGGUUAUUCCACCGAUUUAGGCAGUAUUACGAAGUUUUACUAAAUUAAUUGAUAAAAAAAUUAUAACUAUUCUCAUACACCAUGAAAGAGAGUUUAUCACACAUUAAUACAAAUGUAGAAUAUGGUGAAAAUUUUUAAACAACACUAAUGAAUAUAUGCUUCGGUAUAUAAAACAUUUAC